CCUACGGGCGGCAGCAGUGAGGAAUAUUGGUCAAUGGCCGUAAGGCUGAACCAGCCAAGUCGCGUGAAGGAAGAAGGAUCUAUGGUUUGUAAACUUCUUUUAUAGGGGAAUAAAGGUAUCCACGUGUGGAUAUUUGCAUGUACCCUAUGAAUAAGCAUCGGCUAACUCCGUGCCAGCAGCCGCGGUAAUACGGAGGAUGCGAGCGUUAUCCGGAUUUAUUGGGUUUAAAGGGUGCGUAGGUUGGUUUUUAAGUCAGCGGUGAAAGUUUGGGGCUCAACCAUAAAAUUGCCGUUGAAACUGGAAGACUUGAGUGUGUUUGAGGUAGGCGGAAUGCGUGGUGUAGCGGUGAAAUGCAUAGAUAUCACGCAGAACACCGAUUGCGAAGGCAGCUUACUAAGCCAUAACUGACACUGAAGCACGAAAGUGUGGGUAUCAAACAGGAUUAGAUACCCUAGUAGUC
rnacentral:rRNA from 1 species